rnacentral:rRNA from 1 species
CGGAGGCGGGAAGAGAAUUCUAAGGUGCGCGGGAAAACCCUCGUUAAGGAACUCGGCAAAAUAUAUCCGUAACUUCGGGAAAAGGAUAGCCCAGAGUAUGUGAAGUCCGAACGGAUGGAGCAGGAAUGGGCGGCAGAAGAGAGGCCCAAGCGACUGUUUACCACAAACACAGGCGUCUGCUAAAGCGAAAGCUGAUGUAUAGAUGCUGACACCUGCCCGGUGCCGGGGA